UUUCCGUGACCUCCUUAACCUCUUUUAAAUAACCUGGAUGCCAUCUAAGGAUUUGUCUUCUCACUUACAGUUUGUUCCCGUUUGUUUACUAGUUCUCUAAAGUGGAUGAGAAGUUUAAUAAAUGACUGAGGCUCACAGAACACAUCGGCCAUUUUCCCCUGGGGACAUCCACAGCCACAAAACAGACCUGAGAUAACUCAAUUAAUGCCUGCUCCCUACUCAUGCUCCAGACGGAGGACCUUUAAGCUUAGAAAUUGGGACAGACUGUCCCAGAAGCUAUGGAGACCAACCACCUGGCUGCAAAUCCAUAACAUAACCAGCUAGAACAUGAUCUGUCUCUGCAUGAAGACGUUGGACCUCUGACCUUUUCUGUAGCUAUUCCAGGUAGAACAAAACAUCAUCACCACAACUUUUCUGAAGGGAAACUGAGGAACAGUGGACGGGAGGCACUGUAGUAAAAGAAACUGAAUUGAAUGUUGCCAGGGCAAUGGACAAUCAGCCACACACAUGCUCAAGGACAAGAUUCCAGCUAUGAAGGAGAGAAGAGGUAGGAAAAAAGAAAGGAUUAACAUUCAGGGGGGAGAAAAUAAUUCCUUUCAUAUGAUCCACUACUUUCCCCUUCCCAAAAGACUUCUACAGGAAAUCGAGUUAGAGUUCUAUACAAACUAACUUAGAAAAAAAGAACCAUUCUCACGAGAUACUCAUCUGCUGACAAUCAGGAAAAAUAAAUAAAUAGAAUUAAUUGAUUGGUCGAGAAUU
rnacentral:lncRNA from 1 species